AGCACCCGAUCCUCUGGGCUCCCCAUUCUGAGACAGAUAUGUCUCCCGACUCUCCCAAGUAGAGAAGAGGAUCCCAUUUUCUGUGGGCACUACUUUUUAAGUCAUGUUUCCAGGUGCAAUACUCCAUUUGGAAGGUGCAAUACUCCAUUACAGACUCUUUUAUCCCUUGAAGACCCAUCUAACAACAGGGCUUCCCAGUGGCUGAACCCAAUCAGAAGCCAGAGAGGCAGGAAGCACAUCCAUGGAGCCCAUGGAAGAGGAGUAGAAGGGGGGAGAGUUGGCCCCCAGGAGCAACAGGAAGCUAUCGAGGAAACGGAAUGUGAACCUGAACUUUCUACUUUAUGGAUCAACCAUUCUGUCAAGCAUCUUCCUAUUCUGUCCCAUAACUAAGCAAUACUAAAGAAAACUCAGUUGUAACUGUCACUGAAACAAUAAGUGUCAAUUAAUCCAAAAUGAAAAUGAAAACUCAGCAUGCUGAAAGUGAAGUUGGUGGUUUUGCAUCUCCCUCCAUUCAUACGGAUAAGUACUCUCUUCCUCCCUUCAUUCUGCAAUACAUUUGCAGGCUGAGACGCUUCUAUUAUGUGCUAAACCUAUGGCAGCCAAAAGACAAAGAUUAGAAAAUUCCUCUUACAGAGAGAGAGAGAGAGAGAGAGAGAGAGAUAAAGAGAUAUCCAGUAAUAUUCUUGGGCCUAAAUGUUUUGUUUGGAUUUUGAAUUAGACAAAUGUUCAUUCACCACCCUCGUCUGCUCAGAAGAGUAAAACCUGUCUCACUGGCACUUUUAAUUUCAACAUGGCUCCCUCUCCCAGUUAUAGUGCAUAAUUUUUUUUUAAAAAAAGCCUUGGGCCAGCUCACACAUUUUCUGCUGCAGCUGUUUUCACUGACACUGUUGCUCCCUUGCACUGUUUUCUCCUUCCUUACAGCGCUCACCACUUGCAUCAUAAUUAUUUAACGUGUCUGACUCUCUUGCUAGACUGCGAGCCCCUGAAAGGAAGAGUCAUGCUUUAUUCAUCUUUGCACCCUGCAGGCCCAUGAGCACCCUCCGCAGAGUACACAUCUAACGACUACUUGUCCAAUAAAUUAAUAAUGAAGUAACCUUGCCGUCCAUCUUUUCUUCCUUGAGGGGAAGGAUUCUCCAACUCAAGGAGUUGUGAAUUAUCAAAGA